rnacentral:pre_miRNA from 12 species
AUAGAAGAGGUGGAUUUUGUGUGGCCAGGGUGAGGUAGUAGGUUGUAUAGUUAUGAACUACAUCAUUUUUGGGAGAACUGUACAACUUGCUAACUUUCCUUGUUCACGCUAGCAACACGAUGAACUCGC